rnacentral:rRNA from 1 species
GCACGUUAAUUAGCCGGCUGUUCUUCUUGAGGAUAACGACAUCCACGCGGGCUAUUAACCCGCGCGAUUUCGUUCCGUCCGAAAGUGCUUUACAACCCGAAGGCCUUCUUCACACACGCGGCAUGGCUGGAUCAGGGUUGCCCCCAUUGUCCAAAAUUCCCCA